rnacentral:rRNA from 1 species
UGAACCUUUACUAUAGCUUGACACUGAACAUUGAGCCUUGAUGUGUAGGAUAGGUGGGAGGCUUUGAAGUGUGGACGCCAGUCUGCAUGGAGCCGACCUUGAAAUACCACCCUUUAAUGUUUGAUGUUCUAACGUUGACCCGUAAUCCGGGUUGCGGACAGUGUCUGGUGGGUAGUUUGACUGGGGCGGUCUCCUCCUAAAGAGUAACGGAGGAGCACGAAGGUUGGCUAAUCCUGGUCGGACAUCAGGAGGUUAGUGCAAUGGCAUAAGCCAGCUUGACUGCGAGCGUGACGGCGCGAGCAGGUGCGAAAGCAGGUCAUAGUGAUCCGGUGGUUCUGAAUGGAAGGGCCAUCGCUCAACGGAUAAAAGGUACUCCGGGGAUAACAGGCUGAUACCGCCCAAGAGUUCAUAUCGACGGCGGUGUUUGGCACCUCGAUGUCGGCUCAUCACAUCCUGGGGCUGAAGUAGGUCCCAAGGGUAUGGCUGUUCGCCAUUUAAAGUGGUACGCGAGCUGGGUUUAGAACGUCGUGAGACAGUUCGGUCCCUAUCUGCCGUGGGCGCUGGAGAACUGAGGGGGGCUGCUCCUAGUACGAGAGGACCGGAGUGGACGCAUCACUGGUGUUCGGGUUGUCAUGCCAAUGGCACUGCCCGGUAGCUAAAUGCGGAAGAGAUAAGUGCUGAAAGCAUCUAAGCACGAAACUUGCCCCGAGAUGAGUUCUCCCUGACUCCUUGAGAGUCCUGAAGGAACGUUGAAGACGACGACGUUGAUAGGCCGGGUGUGUAAGCGCAGCGAUGCGUUGAGCUAACCGGUACUAAUGAACCGUGAGG